rnacentral:lncRNA from 1 species
GGGAGCAAGAUGCAGCCCCGACAACAGGCGCUCAGUGCAGGACUGAGGAGAGGCCCACUCGGUGCAUCUACAAUUCAAAGGAGCGAUGAGGGCUGAGGUCAUCAAUCUGUCCCAGUGCUCUCAUCCGGGCUGGGCGAGAGCCGGCGCUUCCAGCACUGUCUCUCCCAAAGAAGAUUUGAAGCAGUGACAAGUGGAGAGUCCUGCCGUCCUUCCUCCCUGGGCCUCGCGCAGAGGUGGCUGGCAGAGUGCACCAUUAGGAUAGAGAUGCCCCGUGUCUGUGCCGCCAUGGCCUGUCUGUCCCGCGCUUCUGAACUGGCUGAGCUGCUGUGCGGGGCAAGGCUGAGUUCCUGAGAUUUGCUGGCAGCCUCCCGCUCUUUGUUCUCCAGAAUGUGAAAAUGGUGUAAAUAGCAGCAUCUGCAACUGCUCCUGCUGCGCUGACCGCCAGCCAAAUGCUUUUUUUUUUCUUUCCCUCACUCUCCCUGUCGAGCCGUCCACAUGAUGCACACAGGCAUGAGCUGCAGAGCGGGGUGCAGCCUGGAAACCCCAGGAAUGCUGGGGAGACACAGGGCAAGGGGGCCCAGGGAGGGCAGUGGGUUUCGCCGCUCCUGGUGAAAUGACGAGCUCCAUGCACGGCAUGGGUGUUGACGGGGUGUGUAGAUGACAUGUACGAAAUGCAUUUUUGCCACCUCCAACAGCUGAAAAAGAGCCCAUGCCUCAUUCCUCAACAGCUGCUGUCACCUCAGCUAAGUUGCAUGCUUUGGAAUUUCUUAAAAGAGAAUUACUCUUACUCAUCGGUCCUCUGACUACUGAAACGAGCCCUGGAAAAAGAGGGGCAACAAGGGCAACAAGGCGACAUCUUGGAAGCACAGAUCAUCCCCAUCAGACAGCUGAACCUAGUGGUUCCUUGAUCUUUGGACGUCCUAGCCUCCAGAGCUGUGAGAAAAUAAAUUUCUAUUUGUUAAAAAUUAUUCAGUCUCAGGUAUUUUGCUAUAACAGCACAAAUGGAC